UGGGAACGCGAAGAACCUUACCAGGUCUUGACAUCCUUUGACAAUCCUAGAGAUAGGACUUUCCCUUCGGGGACAAAGUGACAGGUGGUGCAUGGUUGUCGUCAGCUCGUGUCGUGAGAUGUUGGGUUAAGUCCCGCAACGAGCGCAACCCUAUUGUUAGUUGCCAGCAUUCAGUUGGGCACUCUAAUGAGACUGCCGGUGACAAACCGGAGGAAGGUGGGGAUGGCGUCAAAUCAUCAUGCCCCUUAUGACCUGGGCUACACACGUGCUACAAUGGAUGGUACAACGAGCAGCAAGACCGCGAGGUCAAGCGAAUCUCUUAAAAGCCAUUCUCAGUUCGGAUUGCAGGCUGCAACUCGCCUGCAUGAAGCCGGAAUCGCUAGUAAUCGCGGAUCAGCACGCCGCGGUGAAUACGUUCCCGGGUCUUGUACAC
rnacentral:rRNA from 1 species